rnacentral:lncRNA from 1 species
CGUCCCCGCAGGCAGCGGCUGGUGGCGCGGAGCCUGGCGGCGAUGCCGGCGGCGGUGGCGGCCUGGCGGCAGGAGCGGGCGGAGGCGCGGGAGCGGAGGCUGCGGGAGGCCGCCCGGCGGCAGCGGCUGCUGGCGGAGGCGGGGGCGCGCCUGGGGGCCCCCCCCCGGCCCGGAGACCCCCGGGCGCAGGCGCUGCUGCAGGACCUGGAGCGGGAGGAACGGCGCCGCGAGAAGCGGCAGCGGCGGCAGGAGCGCGAGGAGGCCGCGCGCAGCGCCCUGGCCGCCGCCGAGGCCGCGGCCUCCCAACGCCCCCCCGGUGCUCCCGGGGCGGGAGAGGCCCCCCCGUAGCAGCGCCAAACGGAGACCCCAACCCCCCCCCAAAACAGGAGCGGGAUGGGGGUGUGCCCCCCAAAAUCCCUCGGGGGGCGCUGGGCCGACUGCCCCCCCUCAGCCCGAAGCAGCCCCAAAAGGCCCGUUUCCUUCCCCAAAAGGCCCCGUUCUUCCCCCAAGAGGCCGCCUCCUUUCCCCAAAAUCUCUCCUUUUUCCCCCAAAAGCUCUGGGCGCUUGCACGCGGGCCGGGUUUAAAAUUCUGCGUUUAAUCUCUUUCCCCGAGCUGUUUCCUUUGUGUUCUGGUUUUUUUUUUUUGUUUUUUUUUUUAAUCUCCCGCGGGGCCACCCUCCCCCCCCCAGGGCCAAAUGGGGGAGGGGAAUUUGGGGAGGGGGGGAGGAAUUCAGGGGGAGGGGGGGGCACAGGGAGGAAGCGUUUGUCCGGAGCGGGCCCUGGGGGGGGGCUGCACCCAUCGCUGCCCCUCCCUCGGGACGUGGUGGGGCCCAAGGGGGGGGUCCCGGCCUCGCCCCUCCCCGUGGCCCCCCCCCAGGGGCGAGGCUGUGCAGCCUCUGGGGGGGGUGUGGGGGGGUUCCCGGCCCCCCCCCGGCGUCGGUCUCAGUCGUCGUCGAAGUUCUGGCUGAGCAGGAAGUUGGCCGCCAGGUUCUCGUUCUUCUCGCAGGCGAAGUAGGCCUGGAUCACCAGGCUCUCGGGGAAGCCCAGCGCCUUCNNNNNNNNNNNNNNN